rnacentral:lncRNA from 1 species
UUAAUGACAAGGAUUGGGCUAGAAUAGCCCAAUCCUUGUGGCUAGAAUACAACACAACAUCAUUCUGCUCUGCCUGCAUCUAUCGCUUUCGCGGCGUUGUUGCCGGAUCGUAAGGAAAAGCUCGAUCUUGCAUCAAAACGGAGCCUUCGGCUACGUGCUAAAAUGGAAACUUUUUCAUUCCGGCUUUUUGAUUCAUGGUAAACGCAAAUCUUGUGCGCUGAGAACCUGAGAAAAGGAUCUGGCGGCGGUUGACAGCAUCACAAGAUUUCAAGAAGCGCGCGACUGACUCCCAAAGACGACCCACAUAUCCUUUCCGUCUGCAGUACCACUGCUGCGGCUGCCGCCGCAGCAGCCCUAUACCACACUUACCGUGAACGGAUGCGACUGCGCGUCGUCGCCGGUGAAGCCCAGCGCAUCCAUCAGGUGGAAAUCGUGAUCCGCCAGUGUAUCCAGAAUGUCCGGAUCGGGAGGGCCCGCAAUAGACGCCAUGUUCCACGUCUGGCAAAUAAAGGAUUAAAUCUUAAACCUGUUUUCCAUCACAGGAUAAAAGAGCUCUCAAACCGCAAUUGACCACAUCCCACCCAUGCGAACGAGCGGCGUUACCUCAAAAACUUUUCAUUUUUGUCAAAUGCAAACCUUCCCCCAACAAAAGCAACCCCCGUACACCCGCCCCCCUACCUCUGCCCAUAUCUGCGCCACCCUCAGCAGCUGGUCCGGGGCAGUGAGGCCCCCAUGACCGCCCUCGGGCGGUGAAACGGCCGCCAGCAGCGCCGG